rnacentral:rRNA from 1 species
CACGCCCUAAACGAUGCGAACUGGACGUUGGGCACACUUAGGUGCUCAGUGUCGAAGCUAACGCGUUAAGUUCGCCGCCUGGGGAGUACGGUCGCAAGACUGAAACUCAAAGGAAUUGACGGGGACCCGCACAAGCGGUGGAUGAUGUGGUUUAAUUCGAUGCAACGCGAAAAACCUUACCCACCUUUGACAUGUACGGAAUCCUUUAGAGAUAGAGGAGUGCUCGAAAGAGAGCCGUAACACAGGUGC